GGAAGUAAAAGUCGUAACAAGGUCUCCGUUGGUGAACCAGCGGAGGGAUCAUUACAGAGUUGCAAAACUCCCAAACCAUUUUGAACGUUACCUAUCCCGUUGCUUCGGCGGGCGGCCCGGGCCCCGCGCCCGGCGCCCCCCGGCCCCCCGUGGGCGCCCGCCGGAGGUAAACCAAACCCUUGAAUUGCAUGGCCUCUCUGAGUCUUCUGUACUGAAUAAGUCAAAACUUUCAACAACGGAUCUCUUGGUUCUG
rnacentral:misc_RNA from 1 species